CUGAUGUUCCUCACUGUAAUUCUUUGCUUUGAAACCAAUCUGCAAUUCUCCUGACACCAGUUUUCAAUUUAUGAUCCCAGCACACUAGGCUCUGGAACACUCCCAUGAACUUUGAAGCACAGGAUACACAGAUAAUAAAAAUUUCUUGAUAUGGCCUGACACAAACAAAUGGUAAAGGCAAAGAAACUUGAUGAAGAUAAGAAUGGGGACAUGGUGGCCACGGUAAAGAACUACAGCUUUGGACUCAGGUGUUAUAAUUACCUGUCUAGGGAAGAAAGCAAAAGCCACAAAAUGACUAGAGACAGGAGGUA